UGGCAGGUUUUCCCCAUCUCUUAAUGGAAAUGUUCAUUUUUAAUUUUUGAUUGGAUUGUGCUUAAAAGAAAUGGCUAAAGUACAUAAUGAGCAGCUCAAAACAAUUUAGGACAGCAUGCUUAUGCCAUUGAGUGGGGUGUGUCAUCUCUUCUGCCUCGGCUGUGCAGUCUGUGCACUGUCAUGGUUAAGAAUACCUCCUCUUAUUCAGGUAUUGUCAAGCUUGGGUCACAGAGUUGCACAAGAAACAGGAAGAUGAGUCCAGGUAAUAGAUAGAUAGAUACUUUAUUUAUUAAUUUGUUACUGUAUAGAGAAGGCAACCAAUUUCUUUGCCCUUCCUUGAUGUACUGUUUACCAGACGUGGCACAACAGCCAUGGAGCGGUCCUUGCGCCACUUCUGUUAGACA